rnacentral:rRNA from 1 species
UACGGGGGGGGCAAGCGUUGUUCGGAAUUACUGGGCGUAAAGGGCUCGUAGGCGGCCAACUAAGUCGGAUGUGAAAUCCCCAGGCUUAACCUGGGAACUGCAUCCGAUACUGGAUGGCUUGAAUCCGGGAGAGGGAUGCAGAAUUCCAGGUGUAGCGGUGAAAUGCGUAGAUAUCUGGAGGAACACCGGUGGCGAAGGCGGCAUCCUGGACCAAUACUGACACUGAGGAGCGAAAGCCAGGGGAGCAAACGGG